rnacentral:rRNA from 1 species
UACGGGGGGGGCAAGCGUUGUUCGGAAUUACUGGGCGUAAAGGGCUCGUAGGUGGCCAACUAAGUCAUACGUGAAAUCCCUCGGCUUAACCGGGGAACUGCGUCCGAUACUGGAUGGCUUGAGGUUGGGAGAGGGAUGCGGAAUUCCAGGUGUAGCGGUGAAAUGCGUAGAUAUCUGGAGGAACACCGGUGGCGAAGGCGGCAUCCUGGACCAAUUCUGACACUGAGGAGCGAAAGCCAGGGGAGCAAACGGG